UAUUCAGUUUAUAUCUGGCGU
rnacentral:piRNA from 1 species